GGAUUACAGGGAAGGUCAUAUGAUAGCUGCUUAAUAAAAUUUGCUGAUCGAAUGAAGGAGCUAAUGAAUUCAAUAAAAUCAGGGAAGGCUUCUUGGAGGAGGAGCACCUUGCUCCAGUGGGCUGAGAAGACAUUCCAUGAGACCAGAGCAAGGAGAGGAGUGGCCUGGCAGCUGAAGCCAGAGACAGACUUGAACCUGGAGGUUUAUAAGGGGUUCUGAGCAGAGCCCUGGAACUGGUUCUUGGCAUCUACGCAGAUGGGACAUCACAGAGGGGCUAAAGGACGGAGCCUAGGGCAGCAGGGUGAGGCUCAAGGAAAUAAUGUAGCAACUACUGAGGCCAGCAAGGGGCUGAGUCCAAAUCAGAUGAAUACCAUAGAACAUUUACCUUUUUGAGAGUUAAAUCUGUGUGGAGGAGGAAAGGAGGAGAGACUAGAAGCGGAGAGGCCCUUUGGAGGCUCUGGUUCAGGCAAAAAAGGAU
rnacentral:lncRNA from 1 species